CGUUUGGCUACCGAUCGAUACGUUGGCUUGUAAUUACAUCAAAAUGUAACAGUGAAUACUUAGAAUACUUCGAGAAAUGUUAUACAUCAGUAAUCAGUGUCAGUAAUUUCAAAAUGAGAACAUCAAACAUUCAAAUUCAGAAUCGAAACUCAACCGAAGCAUUUUAAAAAGCAACACACGUUUGAAAUUGGAACUCAACCGAAUGCCACCAAUACAAGUGCAAACGAAAACAGUAUCAACGCGUCGCCAUUACACGUCAAAAACAAAACAAAAUUCGGCGGGAAUUUCAAAAAUGGAACAAUAACCUCUAACUCGGCCACGGACGCCGUUCAGUUAAAAAGACAAAAUCGGCCAGUAUUUACUCACGAUCGAAUGGCCGACACUUCGCUGGCGGAAUUCUUUUACCGAUACCGAUAUCGAUAUGAGAAUCGAUUGCAGUUCGUGGGAAUCGAAUGGAAUUUCAUUAACCGAUGAUUGGGUUUUGGUAAAUAGUUUUUAUUGUAUUCUGUUGUAUAAGUUCUGUUUAGUCUUGAGGGCUUGUUUUGUCAUUAUGAAAAAAAUAUAAUUGAAAAUGAAAAUACUGGUAAUAGGUAUGUAUUGAAAUGCACUCUCGCUUAUGAAUUUAAUUGUAGGUAAUAGUUUCAUAACACUUUUAAUUACCAAAGGUGUACCCAUGGUUUAAUAGGCGUUUAUAAUAACGACUCAAAAUUAUUUUCAUAAUGAUAAAAUAAGCUGACAAAUUAUCAAAAACCUUUCUCAUACCUACUGACAUAAUAUUUAAAAUAUCAAAUAAAACAAAAUCACUGUCUAUACUUAAUCAUUAUAAAUACUGUUGAAAAUUCAUAAAAUUUUCAAAAAUGUAUACAUUACUGUCUCCUAAUCUUAUACAUUAGCAUUUUUAAUUAAUUCAAUGAAUUUAUUGCAAGCAUUUCUAAAUCAUUGUGAACUCCAAAAUUUCUCUUUUUCUUCUUCCGGGAGCAACCUUUUACAAAUUUUAAACAGGUAAUAGGUUUAAAAAUGUGUUCAUUCAUUCAUGUAAAAUUGUGAACUUUUCAGGCAACUUUUUACAGAAUUUUCAUACGUUUUACCGUAAUAAUGCCUAAGCACCGUCUUUUACAUGUUACUUCAAAUAUCUAAUCCAAUCUAUAAUAAAAAAAACUGAUUAUGAUAUUUUUUUUAAAUACCUAGUUUGAGCACUUUUGGCAAUAUUCUAUCCAUUAUCUUUUAUUUUCAUUUUUGCAGUGCAAAGCAAACAAUAUUCAUUCAAAACUUCAACUUCUCGUUACAAAAAAAAAUAUAUAAAAACUUUUAGAUUUUAUAUUACAUUCGAUUCGUACAAAACAAGCAUUCCGAUUAAAGCAAAAAAAUAUUUAACUGUAUUUUCUGUUGCUUUUACUCAAUAAAUUGUGAAUAAAAAACCUGUAAAUGACGCAAAAAAUUAUUAUUGCUUUUGAACUUUUUUGUCAGAAACCGCUUUGACUUCUUCUAAAACGCCUUUUCAUCGACAACUGUACUACCUAUAUCCAAUUAAUUGUCAAUGUGAGAAAUAUCCCAAAACUUUCAAUAAUAUUUAAAAAAACCUAUAUUUAAACUUUAGCAGCUGACAUUCACCAAACAAGCAUCACUUACCGAUAUUGAUUUCAACAAACACAAAGUCGAUACACAAUCAAUAAACUAUGUUUGUCUCAUCACUUAAAAACUAUAGACCAAUAUCUUUUUUCCGUUCCAAUUUUAAAAUGGGUUUAAUAUGAGAACUCUUUCGUUUGCUCUCGUCAAAUUAGUUUAAAUUUAGAACGUCAGCUGCUAAUCAACCUUCUUUGUUGUGGCUUUAAUACUCUUUUGUUAUAUUUAAAAAAAAUAUGGGCACAUCUAUGUAAAUCAUCAUGGUACCGAAAUCUGGUUAAAAUUCAGUAUUUUAAAUUUUGUUUUUGUUAUUAAAACAAAAUAAAUAUGUAUCAAAACUCAAUUGUGCCUGUCAGAUAUUUUCCGUUGUCCAUGCGCAUAACAAUUUAAUAUUUCAAAAUGUUCCUUAAAAAUCACUAAUUAAAUUUGAUCUCUGAUUUGUGCCUUAUUCCAGAUUUAAUCUGUUCGCUUCAACAUUAGUAUAAAAAUAUGUUUCUAAAAAAGUACAAGCACUCUAUAUACUCUUCCUUUCAAUAAUUAUAUUGGACAUACUUAUGUACUGUGUACAGGAUAAAAUACUUCAUGCGAAACUGUUUGUUGGUUAUUUAUGUUUCAUAGAAAUCUUGAAAAUUGUAUUCCAUUCAACAUUUUAACUUUGAAAUUUUAACAUUAAAAUUUAUUAAUUUGAUUUUAUUGUAAAACUUCAACUAUAUUGUGGCUGUAUCUACUGAAGUUUUGUAAAAUUUUGGUAUGUUAUUAACUAUGCUGUUUCUGAACUUGCUUUGACAACGACUUUGUAACAUUUUAGUAAUAGUUCAGGCUUACAUUCAAGAACCAAAAAACCAUUCACCGAUUGUCAAUUUUUUAAUACAAAGUUACAAAAAUAAACAUCAGUACCGAAA